AUGAAUAAACUGGUGUGGGUUGUUGCUGACCCUUCGGGGUAUGUGCACGCCUGCCAUUGUUUCAUUCUACCCUUCCACCUGUGCACUCUCUGUAGGUCAUACCAUGACUUUUCGGGUUUCUAGUAUUCCUGGCAUGGGGAGUGGCCUUCUUGGCCUUCCUUGAGUGGUUGUGACCUAUGUUUUCAUUAACUCUUGUAUGUUAAAUGAAUGUUAUAAACUGGGCCUUCAUAAGCCUAUAAACCUUAUA
rnacentral:misc_RNA from 1 species